GCGACAAGGCCAGAGGUGUGUUUACAAAAUGUAAAUAAUUGUAAAUGUUAUUUUCCAAGGGCAGCUUUGUCGACUAUACUUAAAAGUGUGUUAUAAGCCAAGAAAAAUAAAGUUAUGUGUAUUUUAAUCCUGUUAGCGAGCCAGGAUAUGAAUCGGAAAUACUGUGGUGGUCACGCUGCAGUCGGAAGCUCGGCCGAGGUUAUGUCAACACAGGCACGAAGUCUACCUUCAUGGCCCCCCUACCGUGCCGGACAAUGGCUUGUGUUUCCACGGCACAAAGUGCUCUCUGUGCACACUGGAGUUCCCCGGGCCUCCGUGGAGGUGUUCAUCCCAGCAUGCCCGCCACGGUGCGUGAUCAAUCAUCGCGUUUGGGCCCGGAGCUGGUCGUCCCUCAGGCGGUGGUGUGGAGGCGGCAUGCAGGGCCUCUAUCGACGGUGACCCCGGGCAGUCAGCCACGAUGCCCGCGGGUCAGCAAAACCUCGAUCGGUCCAUGAAAAGUCAUCAUCCAUCACAUCUGGUGUACAUUAAAGAAGAGCCAGGCAUGAUGAUGGCUCCUGCUGCCGGACUGUCUGAGGCUAUUGAUGGCGUCUCCGUGUCAUGUGGUGUUGGCGUGCGCGCCGUGCCAGCUUCAUCACGCCGGGCUGGUGUCGUGUGUGGUCAACAGGCGACGGAGGCACCGUAGGCGAGCGCUGGAGCUGUGGGUCAAGGCCCAUUUGAAGAAGGCUCUUCUGUGCAUUUCCAGUCCAAUCAGGUCUCCCACCAUGUGAUGCAGAUGCCCACUGACACUGAAGGUUGCUACAAGUGGUCAUCUCCUUGCCCAACGUCGGCUCAAGACCAGCCAGCGUGGCGCUGAAAGACCUGCUAAUGAGCGUGAGUCCACUUUCCGUGUCUAUUCUUUUUCUUCAUGUUCUUGUGCAUGUUCAGCACGCUUUGUCGAGGAUCGCUGAACUGACUUUUUAAACUCCUUUAAAACGUUUUCCCCCAAAAAUGUCAG